AGCAGAGAGGACCGUUGGGAGAAUGAGAAGGCUGCUGGAGAGGGAUAGCUCAAGGGGACAGCUUCAGGUCUGAGAUGACUCGAUGAAAGGGGUCAGGAGGAGACCGAAGGAGCAAGUCAAGGGGCUGCAGAGGCUUCCCAAGCCCUGGGAAGAGUGAGUCCUAAGAAGUGGAAUGGAGUCGUCCUGAUUUCAAGCAGCCGUUACAUGCCAGGCCUUCCGGGGACACGAAGGUGCCACGCUGGGUGGCUUUCCACAGGAAGCUGGUGGCGAGACUGGAGAGUC